CCAAUAGCGUAUAUUAAAGUUGUUGCAGUUAAAAAGCUCGUAGUUGAAUUUCGGGGUCAGUAGGUCGGUCGUGCCACUGGUAUGAACUGGUUUUACUGAUUCCUCCCUCUUGAAGAACUAUAAUGUCAUUAAUUUGGUGUUGCAGGAAAUCAGGACUGUUACUUUGAAAAAAUUAGAGUGUUUAAAGCAGGCUUACGCUUGAAUACAUUAGCAUGGAAUAAUGAAAUAGGACGUUAAUUCUAUUUUGUUGGUUUCUAGGGUCGACGUAAUGAUUAAUAGGGAUGGUUGGGGGCAUUAGUAUUCAAUUGUCAGAGGUGAAAUUCUUGGAUUUAUUGAAGACUAACUACUGCGAAAGCAUUUGCCAAGGAUGUUUUCAUUAAUCAAGAACGAAAGUUAGGGGAUCGAAGACGAUCAGAUACCGUCGUAGUCUUAACCAUAAAUUAUGCCGACUAGGGAUCGGAUGAUGUUAAUUUUUUAAUGACUCA
rnacentral:rRNA from 1 species